GAACUGUAGAGUUUGAUCCUGGCUCAGAUUGAACGCUGGCGGAAUGCUUUACACAUGCAAGUCGAGCGGCAGCGCGGGGCAACCUGGCGGCGAGCGGCGAACGGGUGAGUAAUACAUCGGAACGUGCCCAGACGUGGGGGAUAACUACUCGAAAGAGUAGCUAAUACCGCAUACGAUCUAAGGAUGAAAGCGGGGGAUCGCAAGACCUCGCGCGUUUGGAGCGGCCGAUGGCAGAUUAGGUAGUUGGUGGGGUAAAGGCUUACCAAGCCUGCGAUCUGUAGCUGGUCUGAGAGGACGACCAGCCACACUGGGACUGAGACACGGCCCAGACUCCUACGGGAGGCAGCAGUGGGGAAUUUUGGACAAUGGGCGAAAGCCUGAUCCAGCC
rnacentral:rRNA from 1 species